rnacentral:rRNA from 1 species
UACGGAGGGUGCAAGCGUUAUCCGGAUUCACUGGGUUUAAAGGGUGCGUAGGCGGGCAGGUAAGUCCGUGGUGAAAUCUCUGAGCUUAACUCAGAAACUGCCAUGGAUACUAUUUGUCUUGAAUAUCGUUGAGGUUUGCGGAAUAUGUCAUGUAGCGGUGAAAUGCUUAGAGAUGACAUAGAACACCUAUUGCGAAGGCAGCAGGCUAAACGAACAUUGACGCUGAGGCACGAAAGCGUGGGGAUCAAACAGG